GGCAACAAUCAUGUCGAAACACCGGCUCCCGUACGAUCAUCGAAGUUAAGCAAUGUCGAGCUUGGUCAGUACCUAGAUGGUGACGGCUUGGGAAUACCAGGUGCUAUAA